rnacentral:rRNA from 1 species
UAAGUAAGCUUUGAUCCAGAGAUUUCCGAAUGGGGAAACCCAGCAUGAGUUAUGUCAUGUUAUCGAUAUGUGAAUACAUAGCAUAUCAGAAGGCACACCCGGAGAACUGAAACAUCUUAGUACCCGGAGGAAGAGAAAGAAAAUUCGAUUCCCUUAGUAGCGGCGAGCGAAACGGGAAGAGCCCAAACCAACAAGCUUGCUUGUUGGGGUUGUAGGACACUCUAUACGGAGUUACAAAGGACGACAUUAGACGAAUCAUCUGGAAAGAUGAAUCAAAGAAGGUAAUAAUCCUGUAGUCGAAAAUGUUGUCUCUCUUGAGUGGAUCCUGAGUACGACGGAGCACGUGAAAUUCCGUCGGAAUCUGGGAGGACCAUCUCCUAAGGCUAAAUACUCUCUAGUGACCGAUAGUGAACCAGUACCGUGAGGGAAAGGUGAAAAGCACCCCGGAAGGGGAGUGAAAUAGAACCUGAAACCGUGUGCUUACAAGUAGUCAGAGCCCGUUAAUGGGUGAUGGCGUGCCUUUUGUAGAAUGAACCGGCGAGUUACGAUUUGAUGCAAGGUUAAGCAGUAAAUGUGGAGCCGUAGCGAAAGCGAGUCUGAAUAGGGCGUUUAGUAUUUGGUCGUAGACCCGAAACCAGGUGAUCUACCCUUGGUCAGGUUGAAGUUCAGGUAACACUGAAUGGAGGACCGAACCGACUUACGUUGAAAAGUGAGCGGAUGAACUGAGGGUAGCGGAGAAAUUCCAAUCGAACCUGGAGAUAGCUGGUUCUCUCCGAAAUAGCUUUAGGGCUAGCCUCAAGUGAUGAUUAUUGGAGGUAGAGCACUGUUUGGACGAGGGGCCCCUCUCGGGUUACCGAAUUCAGACAAACUCCGAAUGCCAAUUAAUUUAACUUGGGAGUCAGAACAUGGGUGAUAAGGUCCAUGUUCGAAAGGGAAACAGCCCAGACCACCAGCUAAGGUCCCAAAAUAUAUGUUAAGUGGAAAAGGAUGUGGCGUUGCCCAGACAACUAGGAUGUUGGCUUAGAAGCAGCCAUCAUUUAAAGAGUGCGUAAUAGCUCACUAGUCGAGUGACACUGCGCCGAAAAUGUACCGGGGCUAAACAUAUUACCGAAGCUGUGGAUUGUCCUUUGGACAAUGGUAGGAGAGCGUUCUAAGGGCGUUGAAGCAUGAUCGUAAGGACAUGUGGAGCGCUUAGAAGUGAGAAUGCCGGUGUGAGUAGCGAAAGAUGGGUGAGAAUCCCGUCCACCGAUUGACUAAGGUUUCCAGAGGAAGGCUCGUCCGCUCUGGGUUAGUCGGGUCCUAAGCU